rnacentral:rRNA from 1 species
GACGAACGCUGGCGGCGUGCCUAACACAUGCAAGUCGAGCGAUGAAGCACCUUCGGGUGUGAAUUAGCGGCGAACGGGUGAGGAACACGUGAAGAAUCUGCCUUCAACUCUGGGAUAACUCCGGGAAACCGGGGCUAAUACCGGAUAUGAGCCUUGAUCGCAUGAUCGGGGCUGGAAAGUUUUUCGGUUGAAGAUGACUUCGCGGCCUAUCAGCUUGUUGGUGAGGUAAUGGCUCACCAAGGCGACGACGGGUAGCCGGCCUGAGAGGGCGACCGGCCACACUGGGACUGAGACACGGCCCAGACUCCUACGGGAGGCAGCAGUGGGGAAUAUUGGGCAAUGGAGGAAACUCUGACCCAGCGACGCCGCGUGAGGGAUGAAGGCCUUCGGGUUGUAAACCUCUUUCAGUAGGGAAGAAGCGAAAGUGACGGUACCUACAGAAGAAGCACCGGCAAACUAUGUGCCAGCCGCCGCCGUAA